rnacentral:rRNA from 1 species
CCUACGGGAGGCUGCAGUAGGGAAUCUUGCUCAAUGGAGGCAACUCUGAAGCAGCAACGCCGCGUGGAGGAUGAAGGUUUUCGGAUCGUAAAAUCCUUUUGUUAGAGAAGAUCAUGUCGGUAUCUAACGAAUAAGCACUGGCUAACUCCGUGCCAGCAGCCGCGGUAAGACGGCGGGUGAAAGCGUUCCUCGGAAUCACUGGGCGUAAGGAGCGCGUAGGCGGGAUAGCAAGUCAGAUGUGAAAGCCUAUGGCUUAACCAGAGAGCGGCAUUGGAACCUGUUAGUCUAGAGUAUGGGAGAGGUAGGUGGAAUUCUUGGUGUAGGGGUAAAAUGCGUAGAGAUCAAGAGGAAUACUCAUUGCGAAGGUGACCUGCUAGAACAUAACUGACGCUGAUGCGCGAAAGCGUGGGGAGCAAACAGGAUUAGAUACCCGAGUAGUC